rnacentral:rRNA from 1 species
CGGGAGGCAGCAGUGAGGAAUAUUGGGCAAUGGAGGCAAAUCUGACCCAGCCAUGCCGCGUGCAGGAAGACGACCCUAUGGGUUGUAAACUGCUUUUAUACGGGAAGAAACCCAACUACGUGUAGUUGGCUGACGGUACCCGUAAGAAUAAGCACCGGUAA